rnacentral:lncRNA from 1 species
UUUCUGUCUGCUCUACAUGCUGACAUACAGAAUGGAGACUCCCAAUUCCCACUUUUCAUAAUGUUUUGAAUUCAGUCAAGUUCUCAGAACAAAUCUUAAUGUUCUUUGAUGUACUUAACAUUCCACAUAUUAAAUACUAUAGGAAAUAUUAAUUACAGAUACAUAUAAUUAAGUCUGUCAUCUCCGGUGUAUUCUUUGCUAGAGAACAAACAGGUCUUGUUUGGAUCCUCUGUGACCAAGGGUAUCAGAAAAAGAGCCUUUGUCCAGACAUAAUUGUGAAGAGAUGCUCCUCUUUCCCCUGUCUUUCAGUCUUUUGCAGAGGAGUAAGUCAAAUUGCAUGCUGGAGUGAAGCAAACUCAAAUCAAUGGACAGAAAAGUUUGCAAACAUUUUUGCAAAAACAACAUUUAUGGAGGAAUCCAAUAUGCAACUAGCUUCUCAGAAUUAUAACCACAGCUUUAACACAGAAAAUGGAGAAGACAGGUAAUGGGAGAUUCUCCCAAAUGUAAUUAGGAGCAGUAAAGGGUAACUAGUAAGAAUAGCAAGGUUUCUGUCCUUGUCAAGUUGGAUGAAAAAGGUGAAACUGAAGAGUUCACAAUCCUUAGAAACUGAAGAUGGAAAUUAACAACAGGUACACUUCAGCAGAGGCAGAGAUUUGGUUGAUACAGUCAUAGUGACAUAAGGAAAACUAAGAAAAAAAGAUCAACCUAAGGAAUAAAUAAACAAAUAAAUAAAUAAUAUAAAAAGAC